CACGUAGGGGGCGAGCGUUGUCCGGAUUUAUUGGGCGUAAAGAGCUCGUAGGCGGUUUCGUAAGUCGGAUGUGAAAACUCCAGGCUCAACUUGGAGACGCCAUUCGAUACUGCGAUGACUUGAGUCCGGUAGGGGAGUGUGGAAUUCCUGGUGUAGCGGUGAAAUGCGCAGAUAUCAGGAGGAACACCGGCGGCGAAGGCGGCAUCCUGGACCAAUACUGACACUGAGGAGCGAAAGCCAGGGGAGCAAACGGG
rnacentral:rRNA from 1 species